ensembl:lncRNA
UUUUCAGUAAAGGUGGUUGGUGCUCAGACCCUGCCUUACCUGCCUUCAAAUCCCACACCAAGCCUUCUCGCUGCGGGUCCCGGGCUGGCCAGCUCUUCCAUCACACCCCCUCCUUGUCCCAUCAACAGAGACGGCAACCACUUCUUAGGGUUGUCAUGGGGGAGGGGUGUCAAUCAAACUGAGACCCAUACAGGUUUGGGCCGGAAUAAUCACUCAAACUAUGUGAACCGUCCCUAGUUUUCCAGCUAAGUGCCUGUGGUUGUGAGCCCCAGAGAACACUCUGGAACACAAGACAGAGCAGGGCCUCAUCUGGUCCCUGAGGACCUCAUAGUCUAGUGCAAUGGCUGUGACAUCUCUUGGGAUCAGAAAGCCUUUGGAGUGUUGGAUAAAAGUAAUGAAUCUCUUACACACACACACACACACACACACACACAAAUAAAAAUGUAAUUCUGGGUCAGAAACCACCCAAAGCCUAUAAACUUCAGGUUUUUGGGUUAAGAGACUAGCUUGGGACUGCGGAUAAACCAGUAUUUCCAGCUUGUGCAAGAAUCUCUCUAGCGACAAGCAAGCCUUGGUUGCUGCUGGGGUUGGUAGGGGGACAGGGAAUCCUUCCUGGAGCAGGUGACACUGGUAGGGUGGGAAGAAGCAGGAGUUUAUUAGAAUAAGUUGGGGUGGGGGCAGGGUGGAAGCCCCCGGUCCAAGAGACCCCAGUGCACAAAGCAAGGAUAGCAGGAAACCCAGGUGAGAACCCUUGGGUGUUUGCUGUCCCGUCAAGGAGAAGAGGGCAGGGUUCAUGGCUGUCUCCUGUGGGGUCAGAGCUCAGGUAACGUUUCACUGGCAUUUCCAAGUUUAGCUUCAUGCGCGGAGGAGGUCCCCGAGUUUAGGAACAACGAGGUGCCCUGACUUCGGGGAUGACGUGGAUCUGGGUAAUGGCAGUGACAAGGGUUGCUGAGUGGUUGAUCCAAACAGGAGUCUGGAGGCUGCCAGAGUUCCCCCACCCCCGUGGGGAUCUUGCUGACUUAGGGACCAGCACCCCUCACCCAGCCAAGUCCUUAACCCCAAUCCUGUCCGACCCCCACCCCCAUCCUUGUCUUUGGCUGAAUCCCCAGAAGCAGACCCCGAGGCUAGGCUGUGGAUGUAAAUGGCUUAUUUAUUUGGGGUGGGGGGAGUGGUCCCAGGAAGCAGCUGGAGAAGGGAGAGUGGGGCGAGGCGGCCAAGGCGGGUGCUGGCAGGAGCAGGUCACCACGCGUGCAGCUGGAGCUGCAGUUGCAGCCCUGAGACCUCAGCGCAGGAAUGACGAGGGAUGUGAGUGAGGUACUCACGGCCCUGGAACAGCAGCCACCACCAGUCCUGUCUGGGAGGGGGGCGGUGAGGCCCCAGGUGUGGCCACCUCCAGAAGCUUCUCUCUGCGCACAGCCCCCUCCUCCUCCCUCUGAGGCACAGGCUAGUGUGGGCUCUGAUGUUUGUUUAUUAGAGUCCUCCCGCUGCCCAGCUUCCCUGCAGCUCACUUGUGAUCCUGGGCUGGGGCCCUCUCCUCCCGUGGCUUUGGCGCUUGCAGCUGCACUGUCAUUUGGUCCCGAGAAGGAAACACAGAGCCUUUCUGUUCCCCUCAAAGUGUAGCCCAGCAGGAUCCCGCCCCGAACUCAACCAGAAUGUUACAUGUCGGAUUUGUUUGCCUUCCCACAUCAGCUGCUCACAGAUGUUUGUCCUUUGGCUUGUUUCUUUUUCUAAUUAAUUUUUGAUUAAGUUUUGAAACACCUUCUAUCUCCACCAGGUCCCCUCCACCCCAGGUAAUCCUAUUUACUCUGAAGCCAGGCUGGGGAGCCGGGCUCUCCGUGGCUUUGCCGUCCCGGUGGCUGAGACAGAGAAUGGGGGCUUUCAAUUAACUGGUUAAGUGGUCUUAUCCCUCUUAUCCAGACAAGAGAGGAUGGUGCUGGGAGUGAGGACGUGGGAUGGAUAAAAGUGGAGGGAUCUGAGACCGCUCGGGAGGGAAUGGGGGGUGUGGGGGCGAGGGAAGCGUCCGUGCUGGAAAUCGCCUGCCAGGAGGAAAACGGUACUGACACACUGGUGUGUACUAAGAACACAUGGGUGCACAUGCCUGUCCUUUGAACCAAUAACUCUGUUCUUUGGAAUUAUUUAGAGAAAGGAGGAAGAAGAAAGGAACAAAAAUGCCAGUUGCUAGUAGCCUGCAGCAACUAGCAACUGUAGUCCUGAGCUCUGUGCUAGGUUCUUUACCGAAGUAGCAGCAGUGGCGGCAGCAGAAGUAAUAGCAGGAACAGUCGCAUAAAGAGAGCAGAUGACACUCAUUGCAUCUUUGCUCUGCGCCAAGAACUCUUCCCAAUGCUUUGUGUGCAUUACCGAUGUACUCCUUAAAAACCCUACCUGGGGAGUUCCUGUCCUGGCUCAGCAGGUCAAGAACCCAGCUAGUAUCCUUGAGGAUCCCUGGCCUCGCUCAGUGGGUUAAGGAUCUGGCGUUGCCGUGAGCUGUGGUGUAGGCCGGAAGCAGCAGCUCUGAUUCAUCCCCUAGCCUGGGAACUUCCAUGUGCUGCUGCAGGUAUGGUCCUAAAAAGACCCCCAAAACCAAAACCUACAUGGUCCCCAUUUAACAACAGGAGGAAGCUGAGGCAUAGAGAGGUUAAGGGACUUGCCUCAGCUCACACAGGCAGUAAGGGGCAGGGCUGAGACUGACCCCAGGAGGAGACGCUGGUGCCUGCCCUCAUCCUCACCUGCCACCUCCCAAGGGCCUUAGUCCUGGUUUACGUUCAGAUUUGAGUCACCAGGCAGGGAGACAGCUCAGCCUGGGGGACAAGGUGAUGAAAGAGGAUGUUUCAGAGGCUGGGGCAGCAGGGGUGCAGCCUGGCCGCAGCAUAACGAUGUGUUGUGCUGCACUGGCCCCUGGACCCUUCUCCUGCCUGUCAACCCCAGCUUCCCAGGGCAGAGUGAGCCCCAGCCACUGCUACAUCCUUCCCCACAUCCCUGCUUUCUGCACCCAUGACCUGUGGACUUACCCUCAGGCUGCGGUGUCAGGUCGUUCAUGGUAACUCUCCUGAUAGUUAUCAUUACGAUGCUAAAUUAUAUUCCACACCAGGAAAGAGGGAGACCAGCAUCCACUCAGAUCAGUGCUACAGGUCAUGGCUUAACCUGAAAGGAGCUGCUUUUCUGCCGCGAAGGGUGGGCGCUCUGCCUGCCUCUCUCAUUCAGGUGCUGACAGAUGCCAAGGGGCCACCCAGCGGGUUUCUUCUCACCCUCCUCUUGCGUUUUGCCUCUGGACCUUUCCCCAGGCCUGACCCUCCCCCUUCCCCAGUUUCCCUCUGUGUCUUUUCCAAGGCAUUCUCCACUCUGCCAGGGGUGUCCUAAAACCUGCCAGCCCUGCCAAAGACAAUGAAAUAGUCAGGGGUUGCCAGGCAGGACAAGGUAAUAAGAAACACAAACUGGCAAAGCAGGCCCAGCCCGGCUGAAGUUGCCCCUGCAUUUCGAGACUGCAGUGGGGAGAGCAAAGACGGCAGCGAGCAUAAACCUUGUCUCUGUGGCAUCCACGGUUCUGAGCCAUCCUGCCUGCUGUCCUUUUCGUUUUGGCUCUGUAAAUACUGUGUCCUUUUAAAAGGAGUCAUGGAGCAUGUACAUUCAAAGGUGGCAGAUAGGAGUUCCCAUUGUGGUGCAGCGGAAAUGAAUCCAACCAGGAACCAUGAGGUUGUGGGUUCGAUCCCUGGCCUCGCUCAGUGGGUUGAGGAUCUGGCAUUGCUGUGAUGUGGUUUAGGUCACAGACACAGCUCUGAUCUGGUGUGGCUGUGGUGUAGGGCGGCAGCUACAUCUCUGAUUGGAUCUGCAGCCUGGCAACUUCCAUGUGCCGCAGGUACGGCCUUAAAAAGACAAGACAAAACAAAAAAAAAGGUAGCAGAUAAACUACCAGCUUGGUGCCCCAUGUGCGGGGUUUUAAAGGACCUCUUCACUGCAGGUCGGCGAGGGGAGGGGGCAGGAUGUCUUGCCCAGGUGUUGAGACUUUCUGAGAACUUGGACCAUCUUGCCUGGAGAACAAGGACUCUGCUCAGACUGACCUAAAGUCACAUCUCCUUUCCGCCACGUAUUAGCCAUACCUCUUGGGGCCAACUCCUUCACCUCUGACCAACUCUGCAUCUGAGAGGUGUGAUGAAGAUGGGACGAUGUUUAAAAAUAUUGAGAACGCGGGAGUUCCUGAUGUGGCUCAGUGGGUUAAGGAACCCGACUAGUAUCCAUGAGGAUGUGGGUUCAAUCCCUGGCCUUGAUCAAGCUCAGUGGGUUAAAGAUCCAACACUCCUGCAAGCUGCAGCAUAGGUCAAAGAUGCGUCUCUGAUCUGGCAUGGCUGUGGCAUAGGUGAGUAGCUGCAGUUCCAAUUUGACCUCUAUCCUAGGAACUUCCAUAUGCUGCAGGUGUGGCCCUUUUUUAAAAAGAAAAAAUUGAACAGAGAUUUGGGGUAUUUCAUUUUUCAUAGCCUAUAGGAUAAUCCUUAGCAAAUGUUAACUUUUUAUUAUUAUUCGUAUUAUUGCAUAAAAAGCUUUCUGACCUUCCAAAAUCAGUGCCUGCCUUCAAAACCUUUGCCCAUGCUGUCCCUGCUCCCUGGUGUGCCCUCCCCCUGCUCCCCAGCCUUAGGUCAGGGUCUCUAGAGGCAGCACCAAGAGGCAAUUCUUGUGAGUCCUGAAGGAGUGCUCUUCGGAGGACCCUGUCAUGAAGGGAAGGCAGCCGGAGGAGGCGCUAAGCAAAGAUGUGCUUUGGCUGAAGUUGAGCCUCAGCCCAAUCCCACAGGAAGCUCUGGGCUGCAAGUAGCAUGCCCUGGAGCUAGUGAAAUGCCUGUUCCUACCACUGUAUUAGUCAGGUCAUCGGCUGCAGGCUGCCCCUGGCCGGCAUCAAUCUGGGCUUCCCUUCUCUGUCAUCUUUGGAUCACGUGUGAUUCUCCAGAGAAGGUGGCAGCCACGGCUCACAGCAGCUGGGGGUUUGAUGUGCCAGGCUGAUAAAAGGAUCUGGGUCGGGUACCACUUUUCCCUUCUCAGAGCACGUUUACCCAUCCUCCAUCCACCUCGGCGAUGGCCCUCGUCACACUCUAACGGAAUUACAUGCUCUCAGGUCAGACCAGCCCUAGCAAAGGAGACUGCAGAUGUCAGAGAUGCCUCCUACGUGGAGAGAGAAGGCAGCGAUGAGGUGGUGCGAGCUGAAUGGGGGAAAUGCCGAGAGGGAGUGGGCGCCCCAGGGAACCAUGGACUCAUCAUAUCAGCCCCAGGGUGGGUUUGGUGUCCUGGAGCUGGGCAGCUCUGAUCUCCCAGCCAGGCAUAGGGAUUGCCUGGAGAUGGUGGAGGGAAUAAGAGAAAGCCAGGAGAUUGCAGUUAAGUUUCCCCAAAGGUAGGGAACAGGAGUAAAGCCUGGGGAACACACUGGACCUCUGGCCUCGGGUGCAGCUGGCCCUGCCCCUUGCUUGCCUGGGUUUGGCAGGCAGCAUCCCACGUCCGCCUGAGCCAGACCCCAGGCCUGCCCAGCUAACCGCGUCAUUUACAGCCCACCGGUGCCCGACUACACAGAGCCCGCUGGGGAGAUCACCCUUGGCAAUGACGUCCUUGACUGUAACGACAAGGUUCCCCCUUUGGGGGAUGGUGGUGAUGGUUUGAGCCCUCGGAAAAGGGAGCCAGCGGUCUGGGACUGGUCCAGCUCAAUAGCGUGAGAGAAGAGGGUCCCAGGGGACAGGCAGUGGCAAAGCAGGAUGGCAUCUGGCUGAGGCUGCUGAGUUUCAGACUCUGGCUUGGAGGCUGGCCAGCUGUGUUACCUACCGUACACUCUCUCGGCCUUUGUUUCUGUGUCUUUAAAAUGGGAGUCGUGUAGGAGUUCCCAUCGUGGCUCAGUAGUUAACGAAUCCGACUAGGAACCAUGAGAUUGUGGGCUUGAUCCCUGGCCUUGCUCACUGGGUUAAGGAUCUGGCAUUGCAAGGAGCUGUGGUGUAGGCUGCAGAUGCAGCUCGGAUCCUACAUUGUUGUGGCAGUGGUGUAGGCCAGCUGCUGUAUCUCUGAUUCAACCCCUAGUCUGGGAACCUCCAUGUGCCAAGGCUGUGGCCCUAAAAAAAAGCAAAAAAAAAAAA